UUUACUUUAUUUAUAUGAAGAUACCGCUUAGAUCUUAAUGGCAUAAAGAGACAGCAAAAGAAGAAGUAGGAAACACUCCUCUCCUUGCAACGUUGAUGCUAACGAGAUGGAACUUGCUCAUGAGUCCGUUAUGGAACCCUGUUGCCUGGCCGAUUUCCCUAGUCUGCCUGAAACACCCCAAAAAACUGAUUCUCCAGCCAAAAAAAAGUAAUCGAGUCAGUGCGAAACCUGAUUCUGAGAACACUUCAGAAGUGCUUGAAGCUAUUCAUGCACUUGGCUUGAAACUCAAUAAAAUGCAUUUAAAAGUUUUGUCGAUUAAGAAAACUACAGAGCUCACUUCGGCCAAGGUGGACAGUUUAGCAACUUCUGUGCAACAGCUCAUCGUCGAAGUUAACUCUCACGACGAAUGGUUAUCCCUGAUGGAGAAAGAAAUGCAAGCUAUUUUUACUGGACAACGCGCUACACAUCUCUGAGUUGCUGUCGCCUGAAGACAAAGCGGCAAGAGAAAAACUGUGGCCGCGGGUGUAGAAGGCUAGAGAGGAAGGUAAAAGGGCUGUAUUUCAUGGUCCAUAUGCAUACAUUGAGGGGAAAAGGAUUGACAUUAAUGACUGAUUGAAUUCCGAUUGAAAAACCAUAAAAGGCAUCUUCAAUUUUUCAUACAUGCUGGGCAAUUUUUUUUUUCUCUCCUUUCUUUUCAUUAAAGGUUUACUGCCUGCUGCAUCUCCAUGUUUUCAAAUUUAACCUAGUAAAUUUCAGCUUCAAGACAUUAGGUCUUGAAGCUUGGUAAUUUGUGAAUUAUAUUUUUUUUAUAUUUUUCUCUUUUUUUUCUUAUUUUUUCUUGUUGCUGUUCUAGUUCUUUUCGGAAUGGACUUUAUUUUAAUUCUCUGGGCAUAGCAUUACUGAAUGUAAGGGGCGUUCGAAAAAUUAUGAAGUGAAAGGCUUUAUUUCUUUUUUUUUAAAUGGACUGAUGCUGACAUUAUUUUUUGUCAAGAGACACAUUCUACAAACUUGGAUGAAAGAUUUUGGAAAUCUCAAUGGGGAAAUUCUAUGUUUUUCAGUCACGGCACUUCGCAUUCAGCGGGAGUUAUGGUUUUGAUGAACAGAUUUAAAGGAGAAGUUCUGAACUAGACAAUACUAUAUUUGUACUUUGUAAUAUUUAUGGUCAUAAUUCCAAUCCGUUGAAUAAGUCCUUAUUUGCAAAGGUUUCUGAUAUUGUUCAAUGGAAACUUGAUGCAAUGAAAAUUUGCUACUCACACAAUUUCUCUUCUCACACUUUACUCAUUUGGAAUAACAGCAAUAUAACGAUUGCCAAUAGAUCUUUAUUUUUAAGGAAUUGGUUUAACAGGGAUAUUAAUCAUCUUCUGAAUAUGUUUGAUGAUUAUGGGAGUCUUUUAAUUUAUUAACAAUUUAUGCCAAUCCACAGUUUCCCUGUGCAUUUUAAGGAAUUUAAUUCGAUCACUAAAGCUAUUCCUCCUACUCUUGUUCAUCUUGUUAAAAUUCACUAUAAUUAUUCACUAUAACUCUACAAUAAUGACAAAACCAAAAUUAAUUUCAAACGGUCUUGACCUGAUUGGUAAAAAAUGCAAUAACAAACAUAUUUGUACUGUUUUCCAAAAACAAAAUAAAAUAACAUAACACCUAGAGGAAAAUUCUUUUGGAACUCUAUUAUUGAUAAUAUUAAUUGGAAGACUGCUUGGUUAAUCCACCUUAAAAUAUUGUAUCAAUAACAAAACUAAAGAAAUACAUUUGAAAAUUUUGCAUACCAUCUACCCUGUUAAAUAAAUAAUUUCAAGAUACUCUGAUAUUGAUGAUUUAUGCUCUUUUUGUAAAAAUGAGAAAGAGGUCUUAACACAUUUGUUUUUUGAUUGUAAAAUUAACCAAAAAGUUUUGGAAGGAAUUGGGAGAAUUCAUUUUUAAUCUAGUAAAGGAUAUUAUUGUAUACUAUGAAAAUAAUUGUAACAAAGGUAUUGAAUACAUUGUUAACUUAUUCAUAU
ensembl:lncRNA